UACGUAGGUGGCGAGCGUUGUUCGGAAUCACUGGGCAUAAAGCGCGCGUAGGCGGCCAGGCAAGUCAGGCGUGAAAUCCCUCGGCUCAACCGAGGAACUGCGCCCGAUACUGCCUGGCUUGAGGGCCGGAGGGGAGAGUGGAAUUCCCGGUGGAGCGGUGAAAUGCGUAGAGAUCGGGAAGAACGCCGGCGGCGAAAGCGACUCUCUGGACGGUACCUGACGCUGAGGCGCGAAAGCUAGGGGAGCAAACGGG
rnacentral:rRNA from 1 species